rnacentral:lncRNA from 1 species
AUACAUACAUGACAUGUCACAUUCAAAAUUGAGAUAUACUGCAGAUAACACAUUACAUGCAUGAGUGGCAAUCAUAUGGGUUCUGCUUUGAAUCACACGAUUCAGACAGUUGUGAACAUUGAUGAUCAUGAUUGUGUGGUAACUGUAUAUACUGAUUACGAACCAGGAAAAGAAACUAACGGUAGCUCACAGUUCUUUUAGAAAAACAUAAAGGUACUAACUGGCAGUUAUAUUUCCACCAUCACUCCUAGUUGUGACUUCCUACAAGAAAUGAGAACGAAAAUGAUAUUACAGCCUCAUGUCCCUUCCUUGUUUGGCCAUUAUAUUCGACAUGUUCCUUCCCUGAACAAAAGAGAUCAAUAGUGAGCAUUAAAGACCCCUGAAAACUCAAUAGGAUAUACGCCAUGGCAGUAUCUGCCCCGUUUUCAUAUUCAUUCAAUGCACAUUACCAAAAUCUAAUAGUAAUCAAACUUGAAUUAAAAUGGUACAUAAAGUUUUUGUAGUUAGAGAUAGGACCAAGUUGGAAUAGUAUAGAGAAAAUCAAACUUUAUCCUAGCAUUACACGGAAGAAACGUGACCCACUUAUCAUAUGAACAGAAACAGACCGAGAAAUUUAUUUACCAUCAGAUGUCGAUCUCUAUAUUUCCGCUUUGCAAAUGAUCCCAAUUUAAAGCUUGAUAUCCGUUGGAAUCUUCACAUUACACUGCAACCUACAAAGCUUGAAUAAGGCCACUAACGUUCAGAGCAUAGCUUAAAGAAUUGUGCAAUUAGCUCAUGAAAGCCCCCUGAUGUAACAUUUUUACCUGGUUGGUGAUGCAUGGUGGUCUACUAUGCGCAAUAAAAUACAACAAGUAAACCAGAUAAUGAUCAUAUUAAGUACUACAUCAUCAAUAGGCUGAUCAUGUUUGCACUGCCAAUUACUACAGACUUACACACGCUCCCUUCAAAUUUCAAGAACUGCUUAGCCAACAAUUCCAAGUUCAAGCAUGAAGUAGUCAAAAUGAAAUAACUCAAAAUAUUUUUAGAAUCACAACAUAGAAGGAUACUCUUGAGGACUAUGUGAACCUAGAAGACCAGGAAAAACAAUAUUUCAACUUCGCAAUGAUAUAAGGGCAUCUCCAUCACUGGGCGCUUAGCCCCGGCGCCAGGCUCGUAAUCCCAGCAGAUUAGCGGUUGCCGGCUAUAAUCCUGGCGUCAACCCUGGCGUCGACGCCAAAUCACGCACCCGGCGCUUGGCCAUUUUUCUUCCAUCACUUAGCAUCUACGUUGUUUAGUUAAUUAGCGUCUAGCGUUGAGGGAUGAGGCGCUUAGGUGUUCUUCAGAUUUUAUUAUUUUGUUCGUAAGCGCCUAUGUAAGCUCCUAGCAUUGUAGAUGCCCAAAGGGAAACAUAUUAAAUAAUAGCAGUUGUGAAUGGGCAUAUAAGUAUAUAUCACCACCUUUAGUCCACGACAACAUGUAAAUUAUCUACUUAAUAGUAAACGGUGUAUCUAGAGAUAAUGCUAACCAAUUCUGCAUACAAAACGCUUUCGAGAUGGAAAAUUAUAAUUUACUCCUAACGUUCCUUGUAGAUUGUGGUUGCUCAAAGUCAAAUAGCUGCAAUACAUGAAAACUUUUAUAUCAAUUAAAACUACUUCAGUAGUACAUACGCACAUGAUCAAGGAUAAAAUGAAUACUACUACACACAAAUGGUUAAGUAGACAAAACACCAUAUGUUCAAUCACACAAGCGGCAAGCAUGAGCCAAAAUAGAACAAAACUCUGUGCCAAAUCCUGAAUAUAAACACAAUCGAAACUAAUAUCCAUGACAACACAUAGGAAAGAAAAGAAUGCAGUAGAUAAAUAGAAAAGGAAGUGAACAAAACCACUGGCAGAACAAGCAAGCAACAACAUGCAGAGAUCUUACAGCCUGCGACAUAAAAGGGGAGGAACUCAUCAGGCAGAAGCAUUAAUCCAAAAGAACCUCAUCUCCACUGACCAUGCAGACCCAGCCACUCAUGCUCUCCACGACGACGAGGUGCGCCCGAUCCGGAAUCACGGAAAAUCACACUGCAAACUAAAUACUGGAGCAUCAGAUUAGCAGCUAUAUAUUCCAAGCAUGCAUUUUUAACUGUAAAAGAGCUAAUAAAGUGUUUACUUCAAGAAAAUACAGCAGGCCAAACAAAAAAUGUCUUUCUAAAGGUGAACAAAAAAUGAAAUAUCAAUCCUAAUAAUUAGGGUGUGCAGGACCAAAUAAUUAAUAUGCCACUUUGGAAAGAAAACUUCAAAAUGUACCAACGAUUGUGUUCACAGUGUACAAUUGGUCGGCCUGUCAUAUUCUUCUCAUCAUCAGUUUAUUACACGAAAAAGGACUGCCAUAGCCUCACAUAUGUGCUCGGGAUGCUGCAACAAGCAACAAACUACCAACAGAAGACAAAUUUGCAUAUGUACCUAUUGAGAAACAACAUAUAAAUUUAUUGGAUGAUAAUUUGAAUGUUGUACAAAAUUCAAGAGAAACUUUCCACUACCAUAUAGUGCUCGCCGCAUUACUUCAUUGCACAUAUACUCUGUAAUUGAACUAUUGACUGUAGGAAAAAUAUGUAGUGCACACAUUUACCAACAUAUAUGUGGGAAAGACACGUGCCUAAAAGAGGGCACAUUCAAAAGUGGCAACUUGUACGACAUAAUAAGCAGUAAACACAUAAACAAAGCACGCAUUUAAGCACACUUAUUCACACCUUGCCUGAUUCAGUGCUAUACCGGUUGUCAUGAAAGCAUUCAAACUGACACGAUGACCCUAUGCACUGCAUCUAUCAUUAAGUAGAGGAGAAGAUCAUAAAGAAACAAAAUAAAGGCAUUCACCUGCAUCAUAUCCCACCUUGUAUUGAUAUGAAUAUGAAAGCCUCCAAUAAUUAAAGAAUUCAUAGUUGAGGGCAUCUGGUAUUAAGUUCGCUAGUUCUUGUGUGUCCCCAUAUCCAUCACCAUCUAUACACAUUGAAGGUUCCUCUGGUAGUCAUCAUGGUAAAGGGAUUGAGAAAGCAUUGGAAUAAAUUUCUCAUGUAGUAAGACGUUGAACCUUAGCAAAGCAGCAGUAAUCAACGGCUCAAGCAAGCACCAGAUCAACUUGACAACUUUACCUGCAGCCACACCUUGCAACAAAGAGAAUACAAACAUUAAAAACAGGAGAAGAAGUUAUGAAGAAAACCUCACAAGGCUACCAAUAACGCACUCCUAAUAUGAUCAUUCAGUUACUAUCAUCUUAUAUAUGAAAAUGAGAUAUUAUGACACAGUGGUAGGAGCAAGUGAUAGUGGAUCAAGCCUCCGAGUUCAAGCACUUACAUUGCAAUAAUUUGGCUUCCUCCUUUUAAUUGUGAUUAAACAUACUUAAGGGAGUGUCUGUUCUAAAACCAAUGAACAAGCCUAAACAUGAAUGGUUCCAGUAGACUUGAUAACCCAUUCAAGCUUAAGUGACCUUGAAGCGCUGCUCUCUGGAGCCAUGAUCGCGACACCAAGAACUCGCACGAGACAUGGAGGAGCACGUCAGCACAACACCCUCACACCAAUGCCUCCAAC